UACGAGGGGGGCGAGCGUUGUUCGGAAUUAUUGGGCGUAAAGGGUGCGUAGGCGGUUUGGUAAGUCUGAUGUGAAAUCUAUGGGCUCAACUCAUAGUCUGCAUCGGAAACUGCCGGGCUUGAGUGUGGGAGAGGUGAGUGGAAUUCCUGGUGUAGCGGUGAAAUGCGUAGAUAUCAGGAGGAACACCUGCGGCGAAAGCGGCUCACUGGACCACAACUGACGCUGAUGCACGAAAGCUAGGGGAGCAAACAGG
rnacentral:rRNA from 1 species